GUCGUCGUUGUGUAUUGUUAGUCGUUUAAAUUACGUUGGAAUUAAUGGAAUUUAAGUAUUCAAAAUAAUUUCAGAUUUGCCUUGUUUUAGGAGACACUGAAACAUCUCCAAAAGGGACAAGUUGCUCCGACUGGAUUAAAUUUGGUAUAAUUGAACACGCGACUUAAAAUACCUGCAGUUAUUGAAGAAGGAUCAAGAGGAGUUUAAAUAAGCUAUCAAGGCACAAAGCAACAACAAGAUGUCCGCUAUUGAUAACCAUCCACCAGAGCUAUACAAGCUAGGCGACGAACACAUACUUACUGGGUAUGUGGAAAUAAUGAGUGAGGAUAGAAUCCCAAAAAGGCACUUAAGCAGCAGAAUGAAAGGCAAUAAACCAAUGAUGGAGGUCACGAAAACGAUGGGAGGACGCACAACGCAUAAGCGUCAGAACCUGAAAGACAGUAGCCUGUUUCGGAUAUCCUUCCCAAACACUCUCUCAGGAAAUUAUAAACUAUUAGUUGACAAUAAAAAACGUUAUAAUUAAUUUAAUUGUGCAAUCAGCAACACAAUAUACGUAGGAAAUAUUA
rnacentral:lncRNA from 1 species